rnacentral:rRNA from 1 species
UGCGUAGGUGGUUUCUUAAGUCAGAGGUGAAAGGCCACGGCUCAACCGUAGUAAGCCUUUGAAACUGAGAGACUUGAGUGCAGGAGAGGAGAGUAGAAUUCCUAGUGUAGCGGUGAAAUGCGUAGAUAUUAGGAGGAAUACCAGUUGCGAAGGCGGCUCUCUGGACCGUAACUAACACUGAGGCACGAAAGCGUGGGGAGCAAACA